AAAUACGAAUACCUCCGAGUUGUCUUAUCUAAACUUGCAAGAGCAUGAUUUGAUGACCGCAGGGGUAGUGGGAAACUGUUACGCCUCCCGUUGGUAAAGGAGUGUUAUUGUAAUUUCCA
rnacentral:ncRNA from 2 species